ACAUGAAGUUGGAGUUGCUAGUAAUCGCGGAUCAGCAUGCCGCGGUGAAUACGUUCCCGGGCCUUGUACACACCGCCCGUCACACCAUGGGAGUUGGGAGCGCCCGAAGCCGGUGAGGUAACCGAGAGGAGCCAGCCGUCGAAGGUGAGACCAAUGACUGGGGUGAAGUCGUAACAAGGUAAC
rnacentral:rRNA from 1 species